GGAUGUGAGGGCGAUCUGGCUGCAACAAAUACCCCUGAUUCAGCUGAUGUGGGUGGCUAGGUGGGUGCCGCCUUCCUCCUGUGCGUCCCUCCCGAAGCUGCACACUCUGUCGAAGAAGACGAUCUUCCUCAGUAGAGGAGGAUCGUUCUUCUCCAUCAAGGGUACAUGAGGAACUGCGCUCCCCUGCUAGAACCUCCAAACGAGCUUUCGAGAGCUUGUGGUACAAGAAAAAUGCUUGCUCUGAUAUUAUCAUAGAAGACAGAUGAAAGGACAGAGAUUAGGAAGUAAACACAAACGUACACAAUUGUAAUGUAUUGCACUUGU
rnacentral:snRNA from 1 species